rnacentral:lncRNA from 1 species
CUUUGCAUUGUUGAGGUCUCUUAUGAUGCUCAUUUGGUCCUUGCAGGGCAAUCUUUUACUGGCAGAAACUCCAAGGAAGUCAAAGGCCACUGUGAGGAGACUAGGGUGGAUGAAGUUGCAGUAUAACAAUAUCAUGCUCAGAAUAAUGAUACCUCUUUGUGUUUCAAUAGAAAGCAGAGGUUUUCAAAGGGAGGCAACUACAAAGAACAAGUACAAUCUCACCCAGCAAAUAGGUGUAUUGAAGCACAAGGUGGCUUUGUUUCUGGAGUCAGAUACUUUAUUGCUAUGCAUCAGUAAAGUACUCUGUCCAUAUUUUGUCCUACAUGAGAGAUGCAAGAGAGAUCUCAUGGGCAAAACAACUCCUAUGUUCCUGUGAAAGAUGAAUGCUGCAGUAUAACAUAAGAAAUAUAUUUACAUUGUAACAAGAAAUAUUUGUUUCAUUACUUUACCUAUGUCCUGUAGAAGUCUAAUUUUCCAUUAGUGUAUGGAGCAGAUAAGCUUAUGUAUAUGAAGCUAUUUGUUAACACUGAACUAGUGGUCAAACUCUAAUACCUUAAAUCUUCUGUCCAGCCCCUCUGUCUACUCCAUAUCUGACACCUUUUACUUCUUGAAACUGUGCAGUUUCCUGACCACCUGCACCAGCUCUUUUUUUUUUUUUCCUU